GGAAGGAGACAGAAAGUCCUUCUUUCUUGUAGGGGCAGGAAAAGACAGAACCUGCCAUGGGGAGGGGUGUGGGUGCCCUCAGCCCAGGAGCCAUGGAGUUUGGGAGUGUGCUGGGGUAAUGUGGUCACAGGCGUUGAUGGAUCUGGGUGUACAGAGGAGAUGAGACUGGAGGUCUCCAGAAGCCACAUUGGGACCUUGGAAGGCGGUGCUCACAGAGGUUAAGAGCCAGGUCUCAGCUCAGAUGCCUCCUCCUCCAGGAAGCCUUCCCUGCCCCCUCCCCACAGGCUGAGUCAGGCACCCCUUGGGGCUCUCCCCGCCCAGCUUGCUCUGUGCCAUCCUGCCCUUCUGACUCCAGAGCCUUUGUUUAUGACCAGGAUU